rnacentral:ncRNA from 2 species
UGAACAGAAAGAUGUAACCUUCGUAUAUCCCUGGGAAUAAGGCCCAGAAGUCUCUACCGGAUCACCGUAAAUGAUCUGACUAUGAAGGCAGACACUCCUAGU